rnacentral:lncRNA from 10 species
UGGCGAGUGUGAUUCCGCAGUCUUGGGCUGUUUGGCCAAGCGCCCGCCGGACAUGGUACGCCGAAGGGUCAUCGGCGUGGAGUCCUCGCUUUCAGCGUCCGCGGCUGGGAAAUCGGCCAUCGCUACGGCGGGAACUGGGACUCGGGCUGCGUCCCGGCCCUUCCACAUCGGUCCACCGCACUCGUGGGCGCCCGCAUUGGUGCUGACAUAAUUUCCUGACCUCUGACCCGUAUUGUCUCGCGAUUAAAGAGCUGCGCCUGGAUCCCUCAGCAGUGAGGAGACCUGAAGACCAGAGGAAACACAGCAAGUCCAGGCACUCCCACUCCUCCUGAGAGAAAUCUACAGCCACAUCCCUGAACAUCAUCAACUGUUGGAAAGAAUAAUUCCAAGUAUUAAUGGGGCUCACCAGAGAAGACAGGGCAAGGUGAGGGGGAUCUCCUAGCAGAGGAAACAACAUGCGCCAAUCAAGCAAAGAUAUUUUUGUGCAUUCAAGGAACACAGAGAGGAAAGACAGUGGCAGAUGGAGACGUAUAAAGCAGGGAUCCUGUUAUGAAAAGCCCUAAAAAAUAGGGUAUAGAGUUUGGGCCAUAUUUCAGAGGUAAUAAGAAAGCAUUCUGCAUUUUUAAAGUAAGGUUUAAAAAUGUUUCUAAUUAGAGAUACAGCAAAGUUGGUGUGAGAGGAUAAAGACUGAUAUACAUAAUCUGAGGAGUUCAUGAAAAUUCCAUGUAAAGCCUGUAGUAUGAAUUGGUCCUAGGAGACAGACAGCUUCAGGGGCAUAGAGAACUUUAAGCACUUUUCCAAGAAGAGUGAAGGGCUGGAGAAUAAAUUGUGAACUAAAAUAUAUUUUGUGUUUGAGAACA